rnacentral:snRNA from 1 species
ACUCUUGUUUUUUUUUUCAGAUCGCAUAAAUCUUUUUCCUUUUACUAAAGAUUUCUGUGGAGAGUUACAGAGAGAAAAAUAUGCACAUAUGG